UUGCUCCCUUACUCACUCAGAUUUUGAGUUGUUUUUAUGCGCAUCAUCAACGUCCGACGCCAUAAACCUGAUUGGUUAAUGUUAAUUCAGGUUUCCUCAUAUCUAUACACAUGUUUAAAUACAUCCACAUAUAGUCUUCGGGCGUAUUGUAAUUAGCUUGAAUGCAAUGGGCCUGUCGCUGACCCUGCUGCUGCCGCAAAACGCACUUUAAUUGCCAAUUGCCAGCUAAUGUGACAAAUCUUUGUUAAUUUUGCGGUCGAACAUUCAACUGAAUCACCAUUUGACAGUGUUGAGAGAAGAGAGUGUGAAAAUGGUGCAGAUUAACGACUUGGCAUACUCGUACAUGAAUAUAAAGCUAUCGAAUGCUCUACAUUUGACCCGAUACACCCACCACAAGCCACACGCUUUCUGGGAAACGAAUACAAUCCAAGUACUGGAUGUCGCGUACUCUUUCGGCUGUCAGCAGCCAGCGGCCGGCGCGGCUUAUUGUGAUUCAUGGCAGCACUUGGAGGCUAGGCUCCACCCCUUAACAUUGAUCUUGAAUAAUGCCGGCAAUUGAGGCGGUUCCUCUUCCGUGCAACCUUCGAGCAGUAACCAGACAAUAACCAGACCCCUUGGGUAAUUUGAAUUUUCAACUAUAAUCUUUAUUGAUAACAUUUCUCGUUCGUUCGCAGUUUAUCGUCUUCAACUCUUAUCAUAUUAUGACGUACAGUUUGUAUAUGUAUUUGUAUAUUUAUUUAUAUGUAUAGUAUGUAUAUAGAUGUAUGUAUAUAUAGUAUGUAUAGUAUUGUAUGUAUAUGCAAUAAAUAUUUGUUGUGUU